rnacentral:tRNA from 1 species
UGUGUGUGUAUUUUAAAAAAAAUAUCAAGCUGUGACCUUGACAAUAGG